GUGGGGAAUAUUGGACAAUGGGCGAAAGCCUGAUCCAGCCAUGCCGCGUGUGUGAAGAAGGUCUUCGGAUUGUAAAGCACUUUAAGUUGGGAGGAAGGGUAGUAACCUAAUACGUUGCUACUUUGACGUUACCGACAGAAUAAGCACCGGCUAACUUCGUGCCAGCAGCCGCGGUAAUACGAAGGGUGCAAGCGUUAAUCGGAAUUACUGGGCGUAAAGCGCGCGUAGGUGGUUCAGUAAGUUGGAAGUGAAAUCCCCGGGCUCAACCUGGGAACUGCUUUCAAAACUGCUGAGCUAGAGUACGGUAGAGGGUGGUGGAAUUUCCUGUGUAGCGGUGAAAUGCGUAGAUAUAGGAAGGAACACCAGUGGCGAAGGCGACCACCUGGACUGAUACUGACACUGAGGUGCGAAAGCAUGGGGAGCAAACAGGAUUAGAUACCCUAGUAGUCC
rnacentral:rRNA from 1 species